UACCUUCGAGUGGGGAAUGACAGUCGGAAACGGCUGCUAAUACCGCAUAAUGCAGCGGCACCUAAUGGUGACAGUUGUUAAAGGAGCAAUCCGCUUGAAGAGGAGCUUGCGGCAGAUUAGCUAGUUGGUAAGGUAAUGGCUUACCAAGGCUUCGAUCUGUAACCGGUCUAAGAGGACGGUCGGUCACACUGACACUGAAUAACGGGUCAGACUCCUACGGGAGGCAGCAGUCGGGAAUUUUGGGCAAUGGGCGAAAGCCUGACCCAGCAACGCCGCGUGAAGGAUGAAGUAUUUCGGUAUGUAAACUUCGAAAGAAUGGGAAGAAUCAAUGACGGUACCAUUUAUAAGGUCCGGCUAACUACGUGCCAGCAGCCGCGGUAAUACGUAGGGACCAAGCGUUGUUCGGAUUUACUGGGCGUAAAGGGCGCGUAGGCGGCUUGUCAAGUCACUUGUGAAAUCUCCGGGCUUAACCCGGAACGGCCAAGUGAAACUGACAUGCUAGAGUGCAGAAGGGGCAAUCGGAAUUCUCGGUGUAGCGGUGAAAUGCGUAGAUAUCGAGAGGAACACCUGAGGUGAAGACGGGUUGCUGGGCUGACACUGACGCUGAGGCGCGAAAGCCAGGGGAGCAAACGGGAUUAGAUACCCCGGUAGUCCUGGCCCUAAACGAUGAAUACUUGGUGUCUGGAGUUAUUAGUGCUCC
rnacentral:rRNA from 1 species